UACGAAGGGGGCUAGCGUUGUUCGGAGUUACUGGGCGUAAAGGGCGCGUAGGCUGUGCUGUAAGUCAGGCGUGAAAGCCCCGGGCUCAACCUGGGAAUUGCGCUUGAUACUGCGGCGCUGGAAGGUGGGAGAGGAUGGCGGAAUUCCCAGUGUAGAGGUGAAAUUCGUAGAUAUUGGGAAGAAUACCGGUGGCGAAGGCGGCCAUCUGGCCCACAAUUGACGCUGAGGCGCGAAAGCGUGGGGAGCAAACAGG
rnacentral:rRNA from 1 species